GAAUUGGCAAAUAGAGAACUAUGGCAGAACGGAAGAGUUUCACCUACCUAAAGUCCACAUUCACUGCGCUCCUGGUCAGUCUAUUUCCUCCAUUAAAUUUGCGAGCUUUGGAACUCCUCUUGGAACCUGUGGGAGCUUCCAGCAUGGACCUUGCCAUGCGCCUACCUCAUAUGCCGUUGUAGAAAAGGUAACCUUUCUGUCUUAUUUUGUUAGAAGUCGCUGAGGACAAAAAAAAGUUGUUCACUGAGCAAGGUGGGAAGUUCUUGGAGGGAAGGAUGCCGGGGAGGACCUUGCCAUGCUCCUACCUCAUAUGCUGUUGUAGAAAAGGUACCCUUUCGUCUCAUUUUUUGUUAGCAGUUGACGGGGACAAGAAAAAAGUUGUUCACUUUAUUUUGACCACUUACUUUGCCACCUAACAUCUUAUGACUCACAGAUUUUGUUCUUUUAACUUUGCCAGAAAUGUCUAGGACGCCAAAGAUGUGCUGUGACAAUAGCAAAUAGCAACUUCGGAGAUCCCUGCCCUAACGUAUUGAAGCGGUUGUCUGUAGAAGCACAUUGUACACCUACCCAGAAUUGAAGAGUGCGAAAGAAAAAAAAUUGUUCAAAUAUUGCAUAACUUAGUGUACACCCAUGAGGAAAAGACUAGCGAGAGGUAAGAAUA
rnacentral:lncRNA from 1 species